rnacentral:rRNA from 1 species
UACGGAGGGAGCUAGCGUUGUUCGGAAAUACUGGGCGUAAAGCGCACGUAGGCGGCGCAGCAAGUCAGGGGUGAAAUCCCGGGGCUCAACCCCGGAACUGCCCUUGAAACUGCAGUGCUAGAAUUCUGGAGAGGCGAGUGGAAUUCCGAGUGUAGAGGUGAAAUUCGUAGAUAUUCGGAAGAACACCGGUGGCGAAGGCGGCGACCUGGUCCAUUACUGACGCUGAGGCGCGACAGCGUGGGGAGCAAACAGG